rnacentral:rRNA from 1 species
CACGUAGGGGGCAAGCGUUGUCCGGAUUUAUUGGGCGUAAAGAGCUCGUAGGCGGUUCGAUAAGUCGGGUGUGAAAACUCUGGGCUCAACUCAGAGACGCCACCCGAUACUGUCGUGACUUGAGUCUGGUAGGGGAGUGUGGAAUUCCCGGUGUAGCGGUGAAAUGCGUAGAUAUUGGGAGGAACACCGGUGGCGAAGGCGGCCCCCUGGACCGGUACUGACGCUGAGGCGCGAAAGCGUGGGUAGCAAACGGG